AUACGGAGGGUGCAAGCGUUGUCCGGAUUUAUUGGGUUUAAAGGGUGCGUAGGUGGCGUGUUAAGUCAGUGGUGAAAGCCUGCAGCUCAACUGUAGAGGUGCCAUUGAUACUGACAUGCUUGAGUAUGGACGAGGUAGGCGGUAUUUGUGGUGUAGCGGUGAAAUGCAUAGAUACCACAAAGAACACCGAUAGCGAAGGCAGCUUACUGGACCAUAACUGACACUGAGGCACGAAAGUGUGGGUAGCGAACAGGAUUAGAAACCCUAGUAGUCC
rnacentral:rRNA from 1 species